UACGUAGGGUGCGAGCGUUGUCCGGAAUUAUUGGGCGUAAAGGGCUCGUAGGCGGUUUGUCGCGUCGGGAGUGAAAACUCAGGGCUUAACCCUGAGCCUGCUUCCGAUACGGGCAGACUAGAGGUAUGCAGGGGAGAACGGAAUUCCUGGUGUAGCGGUGAAAUGCGCAGAUAUCAGGAGGAACACCGGUGGCGAAGGCGGUCUGCUGGGCAGUUGCUGACACUGAGGCGCGACAGCGUGGGGAGCAAACAGG
rnacentral:rRNA from 1 species